rnacentral:rRNA from 1 species
UACGUAGGCAGCGAGCGUUGUUCGGAGUUACUGGGCGUAAAGGGUGUGUAGGCGGUUGUUUAAGUUUGGUGUGAAAUCUCCCGGCUCAACUGGGAGGGUGCGCCGAAUACUGAAUGACUAGAGUGCGGGAGAGGAAAGUGGAAUUCCUGGUGUAGCGGUGAAAUGCGUAGAUAUCGGGAAGAACACCCGUGGCGAAGGCGGCUCUCUGGGACGGUACUGACGCUGAGACGCGAAAGCGUGGGGAGCGAACAGG